UACGGAGGGGGCUAGCGUUGUUCGGAAUUACUGGGCGUAAAGCGCACGUAGGCGGCUUUGCAAGUUAGAGGUGAAAGCCCGGGGCUCAACUCCAGAACUGCCUUUGAUACUGAAGAUCUUGAGUUCGGGAGAGGUGAGUGGAACUGCGAGUGUAGAGGUGAAAUUCGUAGAUAUUCGCAAGAACACCAGUGGCGAAGGCGGCUCACUGGCCCGAUACUGACGCUGAGGCACGAAAGCGUGGGGAGCAAACAGG
rnacentral:rRNA from 1 species